rnacentral:rRNA from 1 species
AGCGCGGGAAGCGAGCGGAUCCCUUCGGGGUGAAGCUCGUGGAACGAGCGGCGGACGGGUGAGUAACACGUGGGCAACCUGCCUGUAAGACCGGAAUAACCCCGGGAAACCGGGGCUAAUGCCGGGUAAUACUUUUCUUCGCAUGAAGGAAAGUUGAAAGAUGGCUUCUCGCUAUCACUUACAGAUGGGCCCGCGGCGCAUUAGCUAGUUGGUGAGGUAACGGCUCACCAAGGCGACGAUGCGUAGCCGACCUGAGAGGGUGAUCGGCCACACUGGGACUGAGACACGGCCCAGACUCCUACGGGAGGCAGCAGUAGGGAAUCUUCCGCAAUGGACGAAAGUCUGACGGAGCAACGCCGCGUGAACGAUGAAGGUCUUCGGAUCGUAAAGUUCUGUUGUUAGGGAAGAACAAGUACCGUGCGAAUAGAGCGGUACCUUGACGGUACCUAACGAGGAAGCCCCGGCUAACUACGUGCCAGCAGCCGCGGUAAUACGUAGGGGGCAAGCGUUGUCCGGAAUUAUUGGGCGUAAAGCGCGCGCAGGCGGUUCCUUAAGUCUGAUGUGAAAGCCCACGGCUCAACCGUGGAGGGUCAUUGGAAACUGGGGAACUUGAGGACAGAAGAGGAGAGUGGAAUUCCACGUGUAGCGGUGAAAUGCGUAGAUAUGUGGAGGAACACCAGUGGCGAAGGCG